CCUUCAUCUGAGAGAAAUGAAGAGAGAGUUUUUACAGUGAGCAUCAGUAAUGUGAGCAUGAGAGAUGCUGGAGUUUACUGGUGUGGAGCAGAAACCAGAGACACACAUUUGACUUUCAUCUCCCUGACCACCAAAAUUCAGCUCAACCUCAUCAUGGCUCCAGUAGUGAGACGUGAAGGAGAAUCUGCUGAGAUCAUCUGCCCUUAUGAUUCAAUCUAUAAAUCAAAGUCAAAGUCUCUCUGUAAGGGGAAGUGCUCCACUAGAGAUAGAAAUACUCUCAAUGAAGAGAAAGAGACCAAGACUGACAGAUUGACUCUGAAAGAUAAUGUCACUGCAAGUGUCUUCACUGGGACCAUCACUGGACUGACAGCAGAGGAUGCUGGGAAAUACUGGUGUGCAGUGACAUUAGAGAGAGACGUGAAUUAUCUUUACACUCAUCUGAUCGUCAUCAUGAACGAGGAGCUGAACUUGACUAAGUAUGAAGGAGACGACAUGUCAAUCCAGUGCAAACAUCAUGAUGAACAUCAGAAACUCUUCUGCAAAGCACAUGAACCCUC